GACGAACGCUGGCGGCGUGCCUAACACAUGCAAGUCGAGCGAAGUGAGUACUACGGUACGAACUUAGCGGCGGACGGGUGAGUAACGCGUGGACAAUCUACCCUGUAGACUGGGAUAACACCUCGAAAGGGGUGCUAAUACCGGAUAAUGUCGAGAAGCGGCAUCGCUUUUCGAAGAAAGGAGAGAAUCCGCUAUAGGAGGAGUCCGCGUCCCAUUAGCUAGUUGGUGAGGGUAACGGCCCACCAAGGCGACGAUGGGUAGCCGGCCUGAGAGGGUGAACGUCCACACGGGAACUGAGACACGGUCCAGACUCCUACGGGAGGCAGCAGUGGGGAAUAUUGUGCAAUGGGGGAAACCCUGUCACAGCAACGCCGCGUGAGCGAAGAAGGCCUUCGGGUUGUAAAGCUCAAUAGUAUGGGAAGAUAAUGACGGUACCAUACGAAAGCCCCGGCUAACUACGUGCCAGCCGCCGCCGUAA
rnacentral:rRNA from 1 species